AAUUGGAGGGCAAGUCUGGUGCCAGCAGCCGCGGUAAUUCCAGCUCCAAUAGCGUAUAUUAAAGUUGUUGCAGUUAAAAAGCUCGUAGUUGAAUUUCGGGGUCAGUAGAUUGGUCGUGCCACUGGUAUGUACUGGUCUUACUGGCUCCUCCUUCCUGAUGAACCGUAAUGCCAUUAAUUUGGUGUUGCGGGGAGACUGGACUGUUACUUUGAAAAAAUUAGAGUGUUUAAAGCAGGCUAACGCUUGAAUACAUUAGCAUGGAAUAAUGAAAUAGGACGUUCGGUCUUAUUUUGUUGGUUUCUAGGAUUGACGUAAUGAUUAAUAGGGAUAGUUGGGGGCAUUAGUAUUCAAUUGUCAGAGGUGAAAUUCUUGGAUUUAUUGAAGACUAACUACUGCGAAAGCAUUUGCCAAGGAUGUUUUCAUUAAUCAAGAACGAAAGUUAGGGGAUCGAAGACGAUCAGAUACCGUCGUAGUCUUAACCAUAAACUAUGCCGACUAGGGAUCGGAUGAUGUUAAUUUUUUAAUGACUCAUUCGGCGCCUUACGGGAAACCAAAGUGU
rnacentral:rRNA from 1 species